rnacentral:rRNA from 1 species
GGGUUCUAUCAUUGGUCAAGCUAUUGUUUGUACUGAUGUUUAGAAUUUCUACUUUUCUGGGGAAUCAUCAUAUUAUUAAUUUAACGUGAUGAGAAACCAGGACCUUUACCUUGAAAAAAUUAGAGUGUUCAAAGCAGGCUUAUGUCUGAAUACAUUAGCAUGGAAUAAUAGAAUAGGACGGUGGUCCUGUUUUGUUGGUUUCUGAAUCACCGUA